GAUUUCUGGUUUAAUGCACCUGGCCCGCGGCCACUAGGCUUGUGAGUGCCGGCGCGCGUUUACCAUCCUUCUAGAAAACGUUUCUGCCAUUAACUUGGUUGGGAAUGCGAUCUAGAUCUUUUACUUUGAAAAAAUUAGAGUGUUUAAAGCAGGCUUUUGCUAUGAAUACAUUAGCAUGGAAUAAUAAUCUAGGACUUCGGUUCUAUUUUGUUGGUUUCUAUAACUGAAGUAAUGAUUGAUAGGGAUAGUUGGGGGUGCUAGUAUUGGCCGGCCAGAGGUGAAAUUCUUGGAUUCGGUCAAGACUAACUUAUGCGAAAGCAUU
rnacentral:rRNA from 1 species